GUGUCUGGUCGAUCAAGAGAAGAGGGGCGACAAGGGGGUUCUCCAAACCCUAGCUUCAUACCAAAAUCCUUUAAAUUGAAGCCCCAAAUCUGUCUCAAAUCAAGUUCUAAACACAAAUUAAUCAUCACCUCGCUGUAGGAAUCAAAGGCAAAGAGUCCGGAUCGUCAAGCGGACAAGCCGAAGGGAAUCCACGGGGAAAGGGUGUGCUCUAAAGUUUUCAGGUACUCAAGAAAAAGGAUGAUGAUCAAGCAAUCGAGUCGAACCGAACACACAUAUUAUAACGCUUCCGCACUUGAUCUUUUGUUUUGUUACUAUGUAAACACUAGUAGUUUUACUUUGAACAUCGUUUAGUAGGUUAAACAUGUGAAUGUUGUAACUAGUUGGUUUUAAAUCUUCAAAAGAUUUUGUAAACUCUGAAGUUUUGGCACUAAAUGUAUGGUUCUAACUUAUAAACAUCUAGUAUUAUAA